UUCAGACUUCACUUCAAGGAUUGUAAUUUAAAGUUCUGAAAUAGAAUUCAAAUCUGAGAUCUUGCCAAAGAUUUGGCUCAAUAUCUAAUUGGUAGUGAAGGUGCAGAUAACACUGAAAAAGCCUUGAUUACUUUAGUGAAUAGCCCUUCUAUUUCACAUAUGUUCACAUAUGCAGGGCUACUAAGCAGAGAAAUGAACACACAACUCCAACUUUAAACAUUUGUCCACAGCUUUGACUUUUUCUAUCAAUAACAAUUUCUUAAGGGGGAGAAGUUUAUUGAUUGCUGCAUAUCAAAUAACUGCAGUUUGAGGAGAGCAGUCCAUCUGCAAAAAGCUGAGAGUCACAUCUUUUAACCUAGAUACAGAAACACCUUUCCAUCUACCCUUGCUGAUACCCAGGUGUUUCCAGUUGAAGAAAGGACAGGGCAGGAGGAUGCAGCAGGUGGAUUGUCAAGCUGGCAGAUAGAUGAUCUCAGUCAAUGGAACCAGAGGGAGAGAGCUUUCAAGCUUAGUAAAAUAAAAAAAAGGGAAA
rnacentral:lncRNA from 1 species